rnacentral:rRNA from 1 species
CGGGAGGCAGCAGUGGGGAAGAUUGCGCAUUGGGAGGAAGCCUGACGCAGCAACGCCGCGUGCGGGAAGACGGCCUUCGGGUUGUAAACCGCUUUCAGCAGGGACGAAGCUACGUGACGGUACCUGCAGAAGAAGCACCGGCCAACUACGUGCCAGCAGCCGCGGUAAU